rnacentral:rRNA from 1 species
AGGGCACCACCAGGAGUGGAGCCUGCGGCUUAAUUUGACUCAACACGGGAAAACUCACCCGGCCCGGACACUGGAAGGAUUGACAGAUUGAGAGCUCUUUCUUGAUUCAGUGGGUGGUGGUGCAUGGCCGUUCUUAGUUGGUGGAGUGAUUUGUCUGGUUAAUUCCGAUAACGAACGAGACUCUAGCCUACUAAAUAGAUCGUCGGCUUACAAACGCCGGCGAGACUUCUUAGAGGGACAGGCGGUGAUUCAACCGCACGAAACAGAGCAAUAACAGGUCUGUGAUGCCCUUAGAUGUCCGGGGCCGCACGCGCGCUACACUGAAGUGAUCAGCGUGCUUUUUCAACCUACUCUGUCAAGAGUGGGGAACCCAAUGAACCUUCUUCGUGAUUGGGAUAGGGGAUUGUAAUUAUUCCCCUUGAACGAGGAAUUCCCAGCAAGCGCGAGUCAUAAGCUCGCGUUGAUUACGUCCCUGCCCUUUGUACACACCGCCCGUCGCUACUACCGAUUGAAUGUUUU